CAGCUACACGGAGGGGUCAGAGGCUGUAGACACUGCUGUCGGUCGAGCUCAGGCAUCAGAUGGGACACAGUCUAGCCUAAAAGGCAUCCAGCCGUUCAGACCAUGGUAGAUGAAUCUAAAUGCAGUGUUCUACUGCUCACCUGUGUGGAAUGGGACAAGGGCACACAGGUUCCAGACAGCCAGGCUUUAAUGAAUAUUCAAGUCCCUGGAACUGGUCUUGGAAGUCGAAGGUUGUGCUGGAGAGUCAAGGCCUCGCCAGCAGAGACAAAGCCCACCCCAUUAAGGAGCAGAGGACGUGUGCUUUCUACAGAAAAUGGGACUCUGGAAAAGGAAACUACAAAGGGGCACGGAGCAUCUCAGGUUGCUCUUUGUAGCCGUCAGCAGUCAGCAACAGAAGGAGCAGCUGGAAAGAGAGGCUGACCAAGAACUGCAUAUGAAGAAGUCUGUAAAUGGAAAGGAUUCAUCAGGAAGUUGACUGAUAGCAGUCAAAUUGUAUGCAUCAGUGCUUUUCCUUCUCUUUUAUCCAGCAAAAUUUUAAGUGCAAAGUUGGAUCACAACCUGGAAGAAUUCAGGGUGGGUAUUGCAAACUCCCACCGGGAACAACUAAGGACAAACCCAGCUGCUGCUGAUGCCUAGCAUCCUUCUAAGAAUGAGGGAGACUUCCUUCUGUAUUUAUGCCUAAGAUGUCGUGUGCAUAAGACCCUGGCCAGAGCAAGCCUGUGGAGAGCACAUGGCGUCAGUGUUACUGCUCAGAUUCAUUCAACAGUCAACACUGCGAUUCACGUGGCUGCAAAGCUCAUUCUCUGUAAGGCAGGUGUUCAGGCUCCACAUGGUCACCUGCCCAAACCACAGUCACACCAUCCUAGGAGACAAACUCUGGAUGGGACUCACUCUAGCUUCUUGUCAAUUACACUGUGGCUCACUCCUCACAUCUUGAUCCUUCCAGCAGCCCCCUGACAAAAGGUCCAAACUUGACUUCAGGACAUUUCAUUUCAGCUAAUGUAGCUUAAGUCUGUUUCAGCUCUUGUAGCAACUCUGUUACACUUUUAUGUGAAUUUGAGGUUAAAUUAAUCUUUUUCUUCAGGUAACAUUGAUAUAGGUGACUAACUCUGGUGCCCUUGGUAAGUGAAUAUAAAAUAAUGGAUUUGUAGGUUUAGUUCCAUUAAAGCCAAUUGCAGAAUACACGCAUGCUUCAUGAAAUGUGAUGUUGUCAGUUUCUGCCCACAUCUUUCAAAAUCUUGAAUGUAUCACUCAAAAGCUAGGUGAGUCCUCAUAGGUUCAAGCAUCUGAAAUGGGAUGUAUCUUUAUUCCAUUGCAAUACUGAUUAAUAAAUGAUACUCAGAACAGAGCCAUACAUGGACUCUUUGCCAUGUCAUUAAAGACCGUCGCUAUUAGUUUGAACCGUGUGAAAUUGCUAUUUUUAUAGGUAAAAUCUAAA
rnacentral:lncRNA from 1 species